ensembl:lncRNA
UAGAUCUGCACCCGCCCUCAUCCCUUGCAGCUAUCCAUGUCUGCCCGUCCAGCCUCAGAGUCUGUCUCUGACCUCCCCAGGUACGUCCUGAACCACUGUCUCUGAUCAGAACUCUGUGCUCACCUCCCUUGUCAUUCCGCCUUUGGCUGCCCGUCGAUGCACCAGCACCACUUGGCAAUGGCCUGGUCAGGCAGGGAGUAGAGUGGGUCAGAAGCAAGGGAGAGAGGAAAUGAAACACAGAGGGAGAAGAGAGAGGAGAUGAAAACAAGAACACUGAGGAGCAGCAAGGAGAAGGGAAGAGAGGAGGAAGAGAAAAAAUGCUGGGGCAGUGGAAAGUUGAAGAGGAUCAUGGGGACGGAAAAGGACACUGCAGCGGGUAUGAGCUGGGAGGCCCACACAGCAUCAGGCCAAGGCAGUGGGGCUGAGGACCAAAAGGAGAAGACGGGGUGGAGAAAGAUGACCGCCAGUAAGAGGCAAUCACAGAAGUCUGCACUUGUCCUGGGCAAUAUCUGGCACCCUGCCUCAUCUCCUGAACAGCUAGUUCCUUGCUUUGAGUUUACUAAAAAUGAGAGAGCUCCCACUCUACCUUUGAAAAUGGCUUCUAUUUGGAGGCAAUGAGAAUAACAAGAGUGACCGCAGAAACAACAUUGCCAUGUUCCCCAGGGAGACGCAAGCUCUACCUAGUGGUCCAGUUACUAUUGCUGUCGUACAAACCACCCCAAACUUACAACAACAACAUUUGAUUCUGCCCACAUAUUCUGUGGGUCAUAAAUCCAGAAAGGGACGGCUGGUCUCUGGGCAGCAAUGCCUGGGCUCUCAACUGGGAAGACCUGAAGCCUGGGGGUUACAUGACAAUUAGAGAUUGGAAUCCUCUGAAGCUCACUCACUCACAUGUCUGGUGGUGGAUGCUGGCCGUUGGCCAGGAUCUCAGCUGGGGCAGUUGGCUGCAAGACCUGCACACGGUCUCUCCAUGUGGCUGCUUGAGCUUCAAAGCGCAAGGUGCCUGGGUUUUUAGAGUCAGCAUCUCAAGAGAGACAGGACACUGUAUUACCAUUUAUGAUCUAGCCUCACUUCUGCUGUAGUCAUGAAUCUGCCCAAAUUCAAGAAAAAGGAGCAUAGAUCCUACCUCUCAACGGGAGAGAUGUUCAAGCUCACCAUAUAGUAAGACAGGAAAUAUUGUUGUGGCCAUCUUGGGAAAAUACAGUCAGCACAGCCCAUCCUCAGGCCACGGUACUUCAUGGUACCCACCUGCAAGAUAUUAUCAGCCUCUCCCCUAAGACCACCAAGUCUCAUCCCAUCAUGACAUCAAUUCAAGUCAUAAAUUAGGUCCUAGCAUGUAUCAGUUCCCAGGUACAGCAACUCGGGCCCCACUCCUCCAAUCUAAAUACCAGUGAACUAAAGUUAUCAGCCCCACACACCCAAUAUACAGUGGUGGGAACUAACCACUGUGGAUACUCCUGUUCAGAAAGUGGGAAAACAAGAGGCACAUGGCAAUCACAGGUCCAUAAGCAAUUCCGAGAUCCAGCAAGGCAAAUGUGGCCAGUUUCUGAUUAGGGCUCAAGUCUGCUGCUUUGUUCUCUGGCUCUUGGCUCUGCCUCAGGGUCUUGGUUCUGUCCUCUAAGUCAUCAUUCCUUUGUAAUGGGAAUGGCCUGAGUUUGCAGCUGAGUAGUUUUCUCAGCCGGAUCCCUGUUUGUAGUAGCUGAGGGGUCCAACGGUCUCCUUUCAUUUUGUACAGUUUGUGUCCCUUUCCAUCCAAGCUGAUGCAAUUCUUUAAAAACUCUGUGAACUUUUUGGGUAUUGAUUUAAAAUUUACUCCAUUAGACAAAAAACCACAGCCACAAAUCUCUUAGAAAUAGGCCUUUCUCAACCUCUGGCUUCCUGUGAGGCUGCUGUGGGACAAGCCUUGUUAUUAAACAGAAAAAGAGGCAAGACUCUAAGAUCCUCUCUGCCGUGAGGGCAGAGAAUCUUAGAUGAGCAGUCAGAUGGGAAAGCCGAGCCCACAUUUCCACUCAAAGUCAAAAGCCACAAGGAGGGCCAGAAAUGGUACCUCUACGGCAGGAGUCAAAGUCAAACCCUCUUCAGAGGAAAGAUUCGCCAAGUUAGACCUGAGGAUGCUCUUAUCAAGCUCAAGUAAUGAACUAAUGAAGAUGACCAAGCACACAAGAAGUCAUUUAAAAGUAGAUUUAGACAUCCAAGAAUUGCAAAUAUUGGAAUUGUCAGAUGAAGAAAACUGUUAUGAACUGUUAUGAAUGAAAUAUUUAAUGAAAUAUUGGCUACCAUAACAAAAAGAGCAUACAAAAAACCCACUGGCAGUGAACAAUUUUAAAAUAUCAGUCCACAAAUUGCUUGUUUAUUAAAAACAGGAAAAGAAAAGCACCACUAAAUGGAGAAAGCUGGCGGACACCAACUUAACUAAAUGAUCAAAGUUAACAGCAUCGAUAAUAGAACUGCCAGCUUGUGCUUCCUGCUGUAAUGCACUGAGAAUACAACAGCACAUAUGCAGUAUUCCUGCCAUAAAAAGUUUAAUCUGAAUCUGAGCACAAGGAAACAGAUGAAUCCAAGUUGAUGGACAUUUUACAAAACAACUGGCUUGAACUCUUCAAAAAUGUCGAGGUGAUCAGAGAAAAUUUUUUAAAGGCUUGGGAACUGUUCUAGGUUAAAAAAAAAAAUACAGGACAAUGCAUGAUUCUUGAUUCUAUCCUGGAUUGAAAAAAAAUAAUAAAAACAUGUAAAAAUAUUAUUGGGAUAAUUGAGGACAUUUGAAUUUGGUCUAUGUAUUAGAUAAUAUCAAUUUCCAAGGUUAGAGUUCCUGAAUGUGAUACUUAUAUUGCUGUUAUGUAGGAGAAUGUCCUUGUUCUUAGAAGACAUGUCUUAAGACAUUUAGGAUCAUAGUAAUUGAGUUCUCUGUGAAAGAAGUCUCAAAUGGUUCACCAAAAAAAUAUUUGUGUGAAUGUGCAUGUGUGUGGAAAGAGAUAAAGCAGAUGUGGCAAAAUGUUAACAAUUGGUAAAUCUAGAUAAAGGGUAUAUGGGCAUUCAUUGUGCCAUUCUCACAACUUUUCUGCUGAUUUGAAUUUUUAAAUAAAUGUUGGGGGAAAUGUUAACAGCUACAAAGAAUAAGU